AUUCAAAUCUUUUAAAGUUAAACCAUUACCACUUCCACAGCCACCUUGUCUCAAGCAUUCAAUCACAUUCUAAGAUAUCUUUAUUGAAAUUAAGUGUGACUACUUUACCAAAAGACUCUAGAAUGGACCAAUCAAUGAAACUGUCGGUAUCUCCACAACUUUUCAAUUAAAUAGAAAGUUUCAAUCAAACAGGAUACUGAGUGUGCCUACUGCUCCUCAAGACAAUGGAUAAUGGGAGUUAUCAAACUUGUGAUAACUACAAGUUUUUUUAAUAAGUAAAAAGAUUGUAUGACUUCGGUAUCCGCAAUAUGGUAUCGUGCAUUGGUUCUUAUCUUAGAAUGGCUCCCUUCCGUAUAGGUGAAAAUAAGAAAGGUUAUCAGUUCAAGCAAAGAUGACAAUGAUCGUUAUGGAGCCGAUCAUGAUGACGAAUACGAUAAUGCAUAUAAUAAUAAAUAAAAUGAUUUUACUUGUAUUUUAGACUUAUAUAAAUAAAAAGUUAUCUGUUUAA
rnacentral:lncRNA from 1 species